GACGAACGCUGGCGGCGUGCUUAACACAUGCAAGUCGAACGGUGAAGCGAGUGCUUGCACUCGUGGAUCAGUGGCGAACGGGUGAGUAACACGUGAGUAACCUGCCCAUCACUCUGGGAUAAGCACUGGAAACGGUGUCUAAUACUGGAUACGACCAACCCUUGCAUGGGGUGUUGGUGGAAAGUUUUAUCGGUGAUGGAUGGACUCGCGGCCUAUCAGCUUGUUGGCGGGGUAAUGGCCCACCAAGGCGACGACGGGUAGCCGGCCUGAGAGGGUGACCGGCCACACUGGGACUGAGACACGGCCCAGACUCCUACGGGAGGCAGCAGUGGGGAAUAUUGCACAAUGGGCGAAAGCCUGAUGCAGCGACGCCGCGUGAGGGAUGACGGCCUUCGGGUUGUAAACCUCUUUCAGCAGGGAAGAAGCGAAAGUGACGGUACCUGCAGAAGAAGCACCGGCUAACUACGUG
rnacentral:rRNA from 1 species